CAACUGGAAUGGUCCAGUGCUCCGCCUUUACCGGUUUCGUGCGCGGGGCAUAGCUUGAUUGUAUCCGACAAGACACUCAUCGCUCUCGUUGGGAUCCCAUCAGAUGUGAAGUUGCGUGUUUAUAAAAUGGACACCACCCUCGCAACUGGCUGGUCACUUUUAGCCACGUCAGGAGAAGCUCCGGUUGCAACACGCGGUCACUCUGCUAGCAUGAUUGAUAACAAA